rnacentral:rRNA from 2 species
UCGCGACCCCAGGUCAGGCGGGACUACCCGCUGAGUUUAAGCAUAUCA